UGCGUAGGGACCAAGCGUUGUCCGGAAUCAUUGGGCGUAAAGAGCGUGUAGGCGGCUUGUUAAGUCUUGCGUGAAAUCUCGGGGCUCAACCCCGAGCGGUCGUGAGAAACUGGCAGGCUAGAGUGCGGGAGAGGAGAGUGGAAUUCCUGGUGUAGCGGUGAAAUGCGCAGAUAUCAGGAAGAACACCCGUGGCGAAGGCGGCUCUCUGGAACGCAACUGACGCUGAGACGCGAAAGCGUGGGGAGCAAACAGG
rnacentral:rRNA from 1 species